GGACUCGAACCACGGACGUCAGAUUGGAAGCCCUUAAAAAUCCCACUGCGCCACUU
rnacentral:sRNA from 1 species